rnacentral:rRNA from 1 species
AGUGAACGCUGGCGGUAGGCCUAACACAUGCAAGUCGAACGGCAGCACAGGAGAGCUUGCCCUCUGGGUGGCGAGUGGCGGACGGGUGAGGAAUACAUCGGAAUCUACCCUUUUGCGGGGGAGAACGCAGGGAAACUUACGCUAAUAUCGCAUACGACCCACGCGUGAAAGUGGGGGACAGCAUCGCCCCACGCGCGUAGAUGUGCCGAUGUCCGAUUAGCUAGUUGGCGGGGUAAUGGCCCACCAAGGCGACGAUCGGUAGCUGGUCUGAGAGGAUGAUCAGCCACACUGGAACUGAGACACGGUCCAGACUCCUACGGGAGGCAGCAGUGGGGAAUAUUGGACAAAGGGCGCAAGCCUGAUCCAGCCAUACCGCGUGGGUGAAGAAGGCCUUCGGGUUGUAAAGCCCUUUUGUUGGGAAAGAAAUCCUGUCGAUUAAUACUCGGUGGGGAUGACGGUACCCAAAGAAUAAGCACCGGCUAACUUCGUG